rnacentral:rRNA from 1 species
UACGUAGGGGGCAAGCGUUGUCCGGAUUCAUUGGGCGUAAAGAGCGUGUAGGCGGCCAGGUAGGUCAGUUGUGAAAACUGGAGGCUCAACCUUCAGACGUCGACCGAAACCAUCUGGCUAGAGUCCGGGAGAGGAGAGUGGAAUUCCACGUGUAGCGGUGAAAUGCGUAGAGAUGUGGAGGAACACCAGUGGCGAAGGCGACUCUUUGGCCUGUAACUGACGCUGAGGCGCGAAAGCGUGGGGAGCAAACAGG